CCUACGGGAGGCAGCAGUAGGGAAUACUGGACAAUGGGCGAAAGCCUGAUCCAGCCAUGCCGCGUGAUGGAUGAAGGCCCUCUGGGUUGUAAACAUCUUUUAUCAGGGAAGAAACACCUCGUUUCUACGAGGCUUGACGGUACCUGAUGAAUAAGCACCGGCUAACUCCGUGCCAGCAGCCGCGGUAAUACGGAGGUGCAAGCGUUAUCCGGAUUUACNGGGUUUAAAGGUGCGUAGGCGGGAAAAUAAGUCAGUGGUGAAAGCACCGGGCUCAACUCGGUAACUGCCAUUGAUACUGUUUUCUUGAAUGCGAUUGAGGUAAGCGGAAUGUUGCAUGUAGCGGUGAAAUGCUUAGAUAUGUUACAGAACACCAAUUGUGAAGACAGCUUACUAAAUCGUGAUUGACGCUGAGGCACGAAAGCUGGGGAGCAAACAGGAUUAGACUACCCUGGUAGUCCACGACCGUAACCGACUAGUAUUACUACGUAC
rnacentral:rRNA from 1 species